rnacentral:lncRNA from 1 species
GCACUGAGGUAAUACAAGACUUGCAUCACAUUUUCACGUUUAGCAGGAAGUGCAGCAAGGGCUGAGGCUCAGGUCAUUAGCUGCACUCAUUUGCCGACCUGGCCCCGCACAAAGCCGUGGAGGAGCCAGGCACGGUCCACGCAGAUCUGACAGUCUUCAUUCCUGUCUCAUCAAACUUGAGAUUAUUCUUGAAGGACAGCUUUGCUUUACAUUUGACAAUGCCUGAAACGUCUUUUGUUUGUCUUUUAUAAUUUUCCAGUUCAACAUUUCAUGGAGAGUGAAUUUUAACAGAGAGGUAAAGGCGGUUUUCACCUUACAGCAGGCAGUUUCUUUUCGCUGAAAAACUUUAAUCCAAUGUUGUCUGUGUGUCUGUCUCUGGUUUCCUUUAGAAAUAAAGCUUCUCAAGUUUAGGGAUGCAUGUGCCGUUUUCUCCAGCAGUGGCUUUUCUCCUUUUCUUAGUGCAGCGGUCACUGCGUUUCCUUCCCGUCUGAGGUUCAGGGGCUCAAACCCAGGAAGGCGCACCCAGGGUGCGCACCGGCCCCGAGGACCGCGGGGCUCCGACUGAUUCCGCGUGGAUUCCGAGUGCGGUCUGGAGGUCUGAGUCCCCAAAGAGGCGGACUUGAAGAUAGCUUUAGAUCAGGACGUUUCAUGAGAUUUCCCCUUGCUUUCCUCCCCUGCAGGUCCUAGUUUUCACCUCCCACGUCCAGAGGAGCGGGUUCGUCGUCGUUCUGUCGCGUCCGGCGUGCUGCCGU